rnacentral:lncRNA from 1 species
GGAGUUGCUGAGAGAGCCGAGACCUCUUCACUUUGGAAUCAAUUUAGUAUUUCUUUAAUUCUGUAGCUCAUGCCAAACCCAUAGAUGCCAAAAUGACUGCCUACAACAACUAUAAACCAAGAGAAGCCCAACAUGCUCCUGAAGCCGCUGAAUCCAGUCAUUGUGGCAAAGCGCUGGAGAAUUCUGGUUGCUCCUCUGGUAGUUUUCUUUCCCACUUAACAUCUGGAGAGCACCGUGAAAGUGCAAGAUGCCGACGUGCCGGGGAUCAGCAAUGGGGCAAACGACAGGUCCCAUGGCCUAGAGGAGGAGAGGUCCCAACUUGGUGUCUCUGAGGAAGAUCAAGACAAGCGGGAGUCGAGCAUGCCGGAACCAGCGGCCCUCAGUGCGGACAAGAAAGCGGUGGAGAAGAAGCGUGGGGAGAAGCAGGGAGUGAAAGGCAGCGCCUCUGUGCCCCCAGUUCCCAAAAGCCUCCCCGUGAAGAGGAAAGUGGAGCCCGAAAGCCUCGACCCCGCAGAGGAGCCACUCAUCUGGGAAGGGCUCACCCUCAACAAAUGCAUCCUUGUGGCCUCCUUCAUUGCCCUGCUCAGCGUCAGCUUCCAAGUGCUCCAAGGUGAGCAGGGAGCCUGCAGGGACCGGCCCCACUCCGGGGACAUGGCCCCAUUGGGGCUCACGGGGGUUCAAGGAGGGGCUAAUUGCCCAGGGCCAGCCAGCGGGUUGCUGGAACAAACCUCACUCUGCUGGGUCACAGCCCAGUGGCUGCUCCCAGGCUGGUUUCUGCGGGGGAGAGUUAGGGUGAAGCCCGGGGGGGAUUUGGGAGGUGCAAAGUGGAACGAGGUCCUGGCCACUCUGAAAGCCACACGCCGGCUGCUGCCAACGCAACGCGCUCUCCAGCAAAAGGCUGCAGCCCCAGCCUCAUGCUGUGGCCAGGAUGGCCAGAACCCUCCAACAGCGCAUCCCUCAGCUCCACUCCUCCUGCCUCCUCUUCUCUUCUCUCUUCUAGCGCCUUGCUCUAGGGAAGGAAUUAGCAGUGACAGACAGGCCCCUCCACCUCCGCCUCUUCACGGUAGGUUCAGACGCUCCGGUCUGGCUCAGGACUGCCCCAGUCCUCUGGGUCAGGCUUGA